ACCACCAUCACCAUCUCAAUCGCCACCACCAUAAACAGCACCACCACCUCUGUUACUACCAUCACCAGAUCUGUUACAUUUUAUACAUUUGAUUUUAACUUGUUAUCACUUCUUAGGUUAAAAUUGAUUUUGAAAUCAGAUUUGUUUUCUUGGUUUUCGAUUUCAUAAUAUUGAGUUGAAGAUUCAAACUAACGAUCACGUUUUCAAUUUUCAGAUCUAAAAAAUUUAUGAUACGGUUUGAAAUCGAUUUUCGAAGAUAUUAGGUGUAAAGAUGAAAUCCAAUCGACAGGAAGAUUAAAUCAAAAGUGAUUGAAUGUCAUGUGCUUUCAGCCUCUUGGCAUCUAAAUAUCGCCCAUGUGGAGUUUGUAAGGAUGUUGUCAGUAUUCUAGAUAUACAUAACCUUACACAUCAGGUGCUUAGAGUCAUUGUCAAGAAUAACAAAGGCGGAAUGUUCUCACCUUUGCAAGACUCGGACGAUUUCAGUAUUGCAUUCUCUACAGCUUUGGCUGGACUUCUUAGCUUGUCUAUUUAGGACCUAACUCAAACCGUCACAUGCUUUUGGAUUCUUGCGAUGUUAUAUAUGCUUUGUGGAUUAGUAGAGUGAUUUCUUGGUCUUAUGCAAUGCAGGAGACUCAUAUAUUGAUUUACAAAUAUUGAUGACAUCCCAAUAAACAGUGCAAAAUUAGCCUUCGAAAAAGCUAUAUUUGCAAAAACACAUAAGGCAAAUGCUCGGACUGAAGGUAAUUUCAUGUACAAUUUUAUAGUAUUCUUAUUUACAUGUUCAGUAAAAAGUUUUUUUGGAGUUAUCUCAUUCUUGAAAUUAUUAGCUUUUGCAUGCUAGUGCAGUCUCUUUAGAUGUAAAAGGCUGUUUUAAUUGACACUGUAAAUGCUUAUCUAUUUGGACUUUAACUUCUUAUGUCUACACAAGUACUAAGAUCAGUGGAUAGAGAGUUGUCCACUGAUCAGUGGACAUUGACAUUAGUAUUAGUUUUGGACAUUGCUCCUGAAGAAGCUUUAUCUAUUAAUGCAGUCGUAGUUAUAGUCUUUGGCAGGUAUCUUAUGUGUACUCAAGUUUGUUUGAGUGGUUGUUUGCUUCUUGCGAUAGAUCAAUGAUCAAGUUUUCUUUAAGUGGUUUUUAACAAAUCUGUGGUGCAAAUGGUAGCACAAAUUCCCACGACCAACGACUCCUAAUGCCACACCCAGUAGGUACUUACCAUCAUAAUUCAUACUUCAUAUAAAUUAUUCACAAUAUCUAUCUUAUUUCUUUUAAAAGCUAUCUUCUGUUAGCAAGCAAGUUUUUGUGUUCAACCAUGCUUGAGGAUUGGGAAACAGAUAGAAAAUGCUCACUGGGGAGACUAAUUUUCCAUUAUUCUCACGAGCUUAUUUAAGCUCAGUUUACAGGGAAUAAACAUUAUAUCCAACUAUUCAUCCACUUAUGUUUUACUUUUCAGUAGUAAUUUGAAUAGUUGUAGACAAGCCUUUUAAAAUGUUUUUACAUGCCUUCACAUAUAAUAACAUGUCCCUUCUGAGUAUAUUUGUAUAUAUGUCGCUAUGUCUGUUGGGGUACAUCGUGUAAACUAAAGUGGCUCAUUUUGUUGAA